CAGGAAAACCCUCCCACCAUCUCUCCUCUCUCACAGCUCUUUCCGUCCCGAGCCGCAGCGCCGCUCCGCGCCCCCUUCCUCGACCCCAACCACCGCGCGGCGCCUCCUCCCUUCGCAGGCUAGCGCGGCGCCUCCUCCCUUCGCAGGCUAGCGCGCCGUCACCUCCCUCGCCACCAGACGCCGUCGGCGCCGCCCUGCGCGCGGCCUGCCUCACCUCCGGCCUCCCCUCCUGCCGUGGCCCGAGUUCCCCGCCCACGACCCCAUUGACUUCACCCGCUCGGCCACCUCCUGCAACCGCCCCCGCGCCUACGGCCAUCCCUCGCCAUGGUCGUCGGCCUUCUCUGCAUCGAGCUCGCCCAGCGCGCGACGAGGCUACCGCCCGACGCACCCUGCCGCUCCUCACCUCGCGCAGCGCCGCCCUCUCCCUUGCUGCCGUGCUGCCGCCUCGCCAAGGCCUGCGCUCGUCGCCGCCGUCGCCUUCCCUCCUCGAGCAGGCCCGGUGGCGCAGCUCCACGUCCCUGUCUCCUCUGUUCGUUCUCCGUCGCCCCGGCAGCACUUCCAACCGCGCGCACGGAAAUAAAAUCUUUGCAAAAGCUCUGCUCUUGGUUCGGUUGCUGCUCAUCAACCUACGCGGAUUAUUCACUCCGGUGUUGUGAUGCUGAUUGCUGUAUGUGAGACGCCGCCCCAAGGACCGAGUCCGACGUGUGAAUAUUAACCCGAUGAAUUCAUGGUCGCCAUCGACAAUUGAAACCGAAGGCGCCAAUACAAGUUCUCCACCGACAAUUGAAGCCGGAACCUCAUGUUCUCCUUCACGGAUCGGAAGACCGAACCCCGGUGUCAUCUACUUCCUCUCCGAACCCGAAUCCGACGUCCGCUCUCCGAUCCGUUGCCCAUUUGCUUCUUCCCGGAUAGGAUCACGAAGUGGUGUUGUGAGAUACGACAAGUUCUUCUGCAGUUUUUCACAGG